AAACCCUAGCCGGUUCCCCACGCGCGCGCCUCCUCUCCCCUCCCCUCCCACGCGCCUCCUUUCCUCCUUCCCCGCUGCCGCCCGGCCUACUCUUUCCACCCCUCCGGCCGGCUCCUCUCCCGCUCGCACCACCUCCUCCUUCCCACCAGCGCCUCCCUCUCCUCCUUCCCCACCUUCGCCCGGCGUCCUCCUUUCGCCCCUUCGAUCUGGUGCCGCCCAAACCCGAACACCCCGCCCCGGCCCUGGGUCGUGCACCACCUCCGCCGCCGGCAGGAGGGGACCGCGGUGGCCGCCGCGCAGCCCGACGACCAGGAGCUCCCCGACAAGUAUCCUAUAGAGCACUCAGGGCUCAUUACCCUCCCCCUCCAGCCCGCUCGCCUCCCUCUCUCCCUCCCGCGCCCGCCUCUCUCUCUCCCUUCCGCGCCCCCUCCCUGCCCCGCCGCCGCCGCUCGCCUGCGCACCCGCUGCGCCUGCUCGUGGUGUAGCCACGCCUCCGCCGUGGCGCCCUCCACCUAAACCUAGGUCAUCUCCGUGGAUCCGUGCCGCGGUUGCCGGAGGCGUGGGCGCCGCGGGUCAACCGCACCGGGGAGGAUGGGGGCGCCACAAGCCUCGUCGGAGGUCGCCUCUCCAGAUCGGUGGAGGCCAAGGGCAAGGGCAAGGAGGAGGGGAGAAGAAGAAGGAGGGAGGAGUGAUGUUGGGGAGGAUGUGAGGCGGGCUCUUCGGUGGCCGCGAGAACUACGACAAGCGCCUGCACUACCUGUCCAAGGAGGAGGUCGUCGUGCACGCGCGGAUGCGCCGCCGGGCCCAGUUCUCCUGUCGCACCUUCCGCAACAUCAUCGUCCUCUCCAUCAUCGCUGAGGAACAUUAUUUAUCAAGUUUUGGAUCAGAUGCGGGGAUUUCUCCUAAACUCCACCGCCUCAAGAUGUCGUAGUUGGUGUUGUCCGUGCUAUAUUCUGCAGUGCGCUCGACGGCUGCCUCCUCCUCUGCAGCGGCAAGCCUUGGACUAGGUCGCAGCACCAGAAGCAGACGAAGCCUUGGACUAUUCUGCACUGGUCCAGGCGGCAAUCGUCCACAAGAAGAGGGGAAGUCAUGGCAGCCGGGUCCUCAUCUGUGACCGCUCCCUGACCACCAUAUUCUGCUGCAUUUGUUCCUUGUGAGGGGGAUAGUAUAUUAUCCUCAAAUAAUAGUGGAGUGUUCUAAAGAAAGGGCUAGCAUAGGAGAUGCAACGGGGUAGCAUAUUAUCCGAGGAGUGUUCUAAAGUUGCCAAACAUAUCUCCCCCGAAUCUUUUUGCGUUUGGAUCCUUUUGCAUCUCCUAUUCCUCUUUUGGUUUCUUCUUCUUGCCUCUAUCAUUCCUUUGGAUGUUUCUUGGGCUAUUUGGAUGUUUCUUGGGCUAUUUGGAUGUUUCUUGGGCUAUUUUUGCUGCUUGCUAGGCGUUUAUUUCUUGGGUUUUUGCCUUUCACUUUCAUUUUCUUCUCUUUCUUCUUUGACUUUUAUGUGCUUCCUCUUCACCUGAUUGACACUGUGUUGUUUAUGUGCUGCCUACUUUGUUUUGCGGGUACUAUGCUUGUCGUGGAUUGCUACCUCACGUGUACGCAGAGGACAUCUUGGGUGUUCAGCUUUGGAAUAUACAAUAAGUUCGAUGGCUAGCAAUUCAGGAUUCUCGGUUGUCCAAUCACCCAGUAACUUUGAGGAUUCUUGCUGAAACUUAAUGGCAAUGAUUUAAAUAGAGACGGCUCUACGGUAUGGAUAUGAGUACGAUAGUGUUUGACAGUGGCACAAGGAAUGGUGCUCGCAGGUAUCGUGCGGCUAUGCGGGUUGUCAGCAUGGUGUUGCAGUGGUCAGCUGCAGUCCACCUACGCCAUGUUGCUUCCACAGUACCACAAUAUGUUGAUGGUGACACAUUAUGGAAGGGGAGAGGAUCAAUGACCUGAUGUGCAUCAUUGAUGGCGAAGGUAGAUGCCGCCGGAAACGCCACCGUGUCAGAAUGCCAAUGAUUAAAGUUGUGUGCAGUUAACGUGUCUCUGUGAGAGGACUAAAACAAGAGAUGCAGAAUGGGAGAUAGAUAGGGGGAGAACAAAGGAUGUUGUGUACUCUCGAUCUGAUGCCACCAAAGUUGAGAUGAUUUGUGCUCUCUCCCUCCAUCCCAUCAAAAUGUCACACCCUCGUGCCACAAGGCUGCUGAUCUCCUUGCUUCCAGGUCAAGGAAGGAAACCAUGUCAUCAUUGGCCAGUGCAGGUUGCCGCCGGAACCAGAUGGGGUCUCCAGCCAGCCUGCCAUGUGGCUUGCAGUCCUGAUUGUUGGCAGUUAUCCUUACAUAUGUAUAAGGGUUUUAUUACUUUGUUAGUAUGACAAAGUGAAGACAGAACUGAUGUAUUGAAUUACUAAUGGAGUGGUUUUGAUGAGAACUGAAACCUUUUACUUUCAAGGUUGGACAUUGAUAUGAACUGUGAGUAUUUAAUAGAGAAAUUCAGUUCAUAUGAAGCAAAA